AACGCACGCUGGCGGCGUGCCUAAUACAUGCAAGUCGAACGCCGUUGCGAACUGGUGAGUAACACGUAGGUAACUGCCUCAUAGCGGGGGAUAACUAUUGGAAACGAUAGCUAAUACCGCAUACUUUGAGAUGGACCUGCGUUGUAUUAGCUAGUUGGUGAGGUAAAGGCUCACCAAGGCGACGAUACAUAGCCGCACCGAGAGGGGUAACGGCCCAAAUGGGACUGAGACACGGCUCAGAAUCCUGCGGGAGGCAGCAGUAGGGAAUCUUCGGAAAUGGACGGAAGGCCGAACGAGGAACGCCGCGGGAGUGAAGAAGGUUUUCGGAUUGGAAAGCUCUGUUGUUAGAGAAGCGGUAACGACCCAGAAAGGGACGGCUAACUCCGUGCCAGCAGCCGCGGUAAUUC
rnacentral:rRNA from 1 species